UAAUAGAAUACAUGCUUUAUUCAUAUUAUUAUUCCCCACAAGGAUGUAUAUAUUCUUAACUAAGGAACAAAGGAACAAAAGAAACAAGGGAAAAAUUAUCCCCAAAAUAAUAAUGAGGGGAACAACUAAGUAUCCAUCCAUCUACUACACUUACAUGCCUCAGCUCCAAUGUACAUCAACUGUCCUCAUCACCCCCUCCCCCCUCCC
rnacentral:lncRNA from 1 species